UUCCCAAAUUGUAAACCAAGACCAGUGCAUAUUCUCUUUGCCUUCUCUGUAGAAAUUGCUCUAGCUGAUGCAUUUGCCUUUCUUUUGUGGCAACUAGUGGAGCUCUGUGAUCCAGGAUACAAACUAAAAGAGUACACAUUGGCACCUGCUUCAUGGGAGUAUAUUAGGUCAACUUAUUCGCCGACGGUCAGGGCAUCGUCUUCAACCUCUAAAAUCAUUAGAAAAGAUGGGUGGAAAGGAGACAAUAGUGAUGAACACACUUUGGUGGUUGUGAUGGUGCUAGAGAUGAUACAAGGUAUGGAUGUGUGGGAGGGAUGGCAUGGCUGA
rnacentral:lncRNA from 3 species